rnacentral:rRNA from 1 species
UACGUAGGGUCCGAGCGUUGUCCGGAAUUACUGGGCGUAAAGAGCUCGUAGGUGGUUUGUCGCGUUGUUCGUGAAAACUCACAGCUUAACUGUGGGCGUGCGGGCGAUACGGGCAGACUGGAGUACUGCAGGGGAGACUGGAAUUCCUGGUGUAGCGGUGGAAUGCGCAGAUAUCAGGAGGAACACCGGUGGCGAAGGCGGGUUGCUGGGCUGACACUGACGCUGGAGGCGCGAAAGCUAGGGGAGCGAACGGG